UACAGAGGUCCCAAGCGUUGUUCGGAUUCACUGGGCGUAAAGGGUGCGUAGGUGGUGAGGUAAGUCGGAUGUGAAAUCUCCAGGCUCAACUUGGAAAUGGCAUCGGAAACUGCCUUGCUCGAGGUUUGGAGGGGGGGCUGGAAUACUUGGUGUAGCAGUGAAAUGCGUAGAUAUCAAGUGGAACACCAGUGGCGAAGGCGAGUCCCUGGACAAAACCUGACACUGAGGCACGAAAGCUAGGGGAGCAAACAGG
rnacentral:rRNA from 1 species